UACAGAGGGUGCAAGCGUUAAUCGGAAUUACUGGGCGUAAAGGGCGCGUAGGUUGCUUUGUAAGUUGGAUGUGAAAUGUCCGGGCUUAACCUGGAACGGCCAUCCAAUACUGCAAAGCUAGAGUACAGUAGAGGGAAGGGGAAUUUCCGGUGUAGCGGUGAAAUGCGUAGAUAUCGGAAGGAACAUCAGUGGCGAAGGCGCCUUCCUGGACUGAUACUGACACUGAGGCGCGACAGCGUGGGGAGCGAACAGG
rnacentral:rRNA from 2 species